rnacentral:rRNA from 1 species
AAUGAACGUUGGCGGCAUGGAUUAGGCAUGCAAGUCGAGCGAGAAGGGUUAAGUGCUUGCACAAGACCCGGAAAGCGGCGUAAGGGUGAGUAACGCGUAGUUACCUACCCCCGGGUCCGGAAUAGCUGCGGGAAACUGCAGGUAAUGCCGGAUAAUAUCUCAGGAUCAGAGGUGAGAUUCCGCCCGGGGAGGGGACUGCGUCCUACUAGCUUGUUGGUGGGGUAAUGGCCUACCAAGGCUCCGAUGGGUAGCGGGCGUGAGAGCGUGGCCCGUCACACUGGGACUGGGACACUGCCCAGACACCUACGGGUGGCUGCAGUCGAGAAUCUUCGGCAAUGGGCGAAAGCCUGACCGAGCAAUGCCGCGUGCGGGAUGAAGGCCCUCGGGUUGUAAACCGCGAAAGUAAGGAGGAAGGCCCCAUGAAGAAUGGGGUUUGACCGAUCUACAGUAAGGACGGGCUAAGUUCGUGCCAGCCGCCGCUGUAACAC